rnacentral:rRNA from 1 species
UGAGCAAUCUGCCCUUCUCAUCGGAAUAAGCGUUGGAAACGACGUCUAAUGCCGAAUACGACCUCCUUUCGCAUGAUCGGAGGUGGAAAGCUCCGGCGGAGAAGGAUGAGCUCGCGGCCUAUCAGCUAGUUGGUGUGGGUAAUGGCUCACCAAGGCGACGACGGGUAGCCGGCCUGGAGAGGGUGACCGGCCACACUGGGACUGAGACACGGCCCAGACUCCUAGGAGG